UACGGAGUGUGCAAGCGUUACUCGGAAUCACUGGGCUUAAAGGGUGCGUAGGCGGUGCGGAUAGUCGGGUGUGAAAUCCCUCAGCUUAACUGGGGAACUGCAUUCGAUACUUCCGUGCUAGAGUAAGACAGAGGUAAGUGGAACUGAGGGUGGAGCGGUGAAAUGCGUUGAUAUCCUCAGGAACACCGGCGGCGAAGGCGACUUACUGGGUCUUUACUGACGCUGAUGCACGAAAGCCAGGGUAGCAAACGGG
rnacentral:rRNA from 1 species